rnacentral:rRNA from 1 species
GACGAACGCUGGCGGCGUGCUUAACACAUGCAAGUCGAACGAUGAAGCUAGAGCUUGCUCUGGUGAAUUAGUGGCGAACGGGUGAGUAACACGUGAGUAACCUGCCCCGAACUCUGGGAUAACUGCUGGAAACGGUAGCUAAUACUGGAUACGACCUACCAAGGCAUCUUCUGUAGGUGGAAAGAAUUUCGGUUCGGGAUGGACUCGCGGCCUAUCAGCUUGUUGGUGAGGUAAUGGCUCACCAAGGCGACGACGGGUAGCCGGCCUGAGAGGGUGACCGGCCACACUGGGACUGAGACACGGCCCAGACUCCGACGGGAGGCAGCAGUGGGGAAUAUUGCACAAUGGGCGCAAGGCUGAUGCAGCAACGCCGCGUGAGGGAUGACGGCCUUCGGGUUGUAAACCUCUUUUAGUAGGGAAGAAGCGAAGGUGACGGUACCUGCAGAAAAAGCACCGGCUAACUACGUGCCAGCAGCCGCGGUAA